CGCGUGGGAACAUACCUAAUAGUACGGAAUAACGUUUGGAAACGAGCGCUAAUACCGUAUACGCCCUUAGGGGGAAAGAUUUAUCGCUAUUAGAUUGGCCCGCGUUGGAUUAGUUAGUUGGUGAGGUAAUGGCUCACCAAGGCGACGAUCUAUAGCUGGUCUGAGAGGAUGAUCAGCCACACUGGGACUGAGACACGGCCCAGACUCCUACGGGAGGCAGCAGUGGGGAGUAUUGCACAAUGGGGGAAACCCUGAUGCAGCCAUGCCGCGUGUGUGAAGAAGGCCUUCGGGUUGUAAACC
rnacentral:rRNA from 1 species